rnacentral:sRNA from 1 species
CCAUGCUGCGGUCAGGUUAUCUAGAUGUGUUGCUGGAAGAUUGAUAGAAUGAUUGAAUCUGUCUCUUGUGUAAAGCUGGAAUAUGGUUCUUAUUUGUUCUGUGCU